rnacentral:lncRNA from 1 species
AGAAAGCCUUUUGGCUUUAAGCAUGUAUAGUAAAUUGAAAAAAAAAAAUUAUCCAUGAGUUUCUGAAAACCAAUUAACUUCAAAAUCUCUUCCAGCGCUAGGAGGAACAUCUUCAAUAACUUUUUCAUGGCCUUUUGGGUAAUAAAUCCCAGUUCUUUCAUGAGGAACCCAGCCACAAUUCCCUUCAUUUUCUCCCACAUUAUUAUUCAUCUGCUGCCUCCUCAUCACAUUUCCUUCUUCUGCAUUGGAUUUCAAUGAUGUUUCUCUCAUCAUAUCAUGAGAACUUGCUUUCUUUUGAAAGGAUUUCCUCAUUAUUGGCCUAUAUGUCUCAAAAAGACUUAACAAAUUAAUAAUGCAAAAACAAAGACUAGAAUAUUCAAACACUCAAAUGAAUGAAAGUAAUCUCUUUUUAUUGUUGUGUGGACACUGGCGAAAUCAGGAUUUUGGUUCGACAGAUGUCAUCAAUAAUAGAGAAACAACAAAUUUAAGUAGGUUAUAACACAAAAAUAUAAACAUAUGGGGGCUACAAAAUAAAAUUAUCAGACACAGAGACAAAUUUAAUUGAAGACUUUCAUAUUUCUUGAUAAUUUUUUUUAACCUGAGGCCCAUGUGGAGACAUAUUGAUUCAGUUAAUAAAACAUUUAAUUCUAUGUACUUAACCAACCACUCAUAAUUAGUAAUUACAUAGUUUGAAACUAUUAGGCCUAUUUCGAACGAACUGUUUCAUAACAAAAUUAAUUUAGAUAAACUGAAAAGAUUUAUUUACAAACAUACCAUGCAAUAAUGAAGUGCGAUUGUCAAAAUGAAAUGAUGAAAUAGCAAAGUAGAUAGAUAAUGAAAGCAUUACUUGAAAAACAUGGAGUUAAAGGUGGGAGCUCCUCUAGCAAAUGAUCCUGUCAUCUUUUUCUUCUUUUUUCUCUCACUUUCUCUCUUUCCAAACAAUGUGGGUGGAAUGAAUUGAAUUAUGAUUUAGAUAGAGAUCUCUUUAUAUAGUGAAGUUAAAUAAGAGAAUAUUGUUAUCCAUUUCUCUCAUCUCUAGGGAGAUCAUUUAUUGUUCCCGUGUACGUCAUUUUCUGUUUGGAUAAAUAUUAAAUUAUAAUACUCUUUCUUGAUCAUUGGGGAGCACUCAUUGCAGAGCAUGGCCUUCUUUUGUUUCCUUUUGUUUUUUAGUCAUCUAAGUUAUGCGACAUGGCUUGUGGACUCAGCUUUUAAAAACUUUCCCUCGAUAAGUAGUUGAAUCUAGGGGAGGUACUGUUUAGUCAUAACGAGAUUACACGAUAUAAAAUGAGAUAUAGAGGCGGAUUCACCUCAUGAUUAGUGGGACAGAGAGAAUAAUUAAAAAAAUAUAUAUUUGAGUUAUUAAUUAAUUCUGUUGAAUAUAUUAAAAUAGGCAAGUUAAAUUUAUAAAAAUAGUCUUAUAAAUUCAAAAUUUAUAAAAUUUUAACUUUGAGAAUUACAAAAACCACACUUUAAUUAAAAUAUAAAAGGUUAUGAGAUAACCCAUAUAGGUGGUUUAUUAUUAUUUAAUUUAGUUUCUAUUAAAUCUAUAAAAAUGAUUUAUAUAAACUCAUCAAGCUAUAAAAUUUGAGUUUUCGCAUUGUGUUGUUAUAUAAUUUAGCCAUCGAUAAAUCAUUUUUAUGAAUCCACCACUGAUAACAUAAAUAUAAAAAAAUUAAGUGCUCGAUUUACCUCACGCAAAUAUGACAUAAUAUUUUCGUUAACUGCCAUAAGAAACUUAAAAAUGGUAGUCAAUUAAAUAAACUAUGACCAUUGACAAAAAAUUAAUGAAAUUGUAACAGAUAUACAAAAAGAUUUUAAAAUCAUUUUGCCCUUAAUUGAUAUAAGAUGAGUCGUUAAUAAUUGCAUGUGCAAACAUCGUAUAUUCUUUAUAAUUAAUUGUGCAGAUUUUGAUGACCAUUUGUGUGUAUUGGGGUUAUGUGUUUUGUGAGUUUUUUCUACUUUUGUAAAUUUUUAUUUGUUAGUAAAAUUAUCUUCCAGUUUUUGCCCAUGCACAUAGGCAUUACGCCAAACCACGUAAAUUAUUGUAUCCUAUUUUCUUUCUAUUUGUUUAUCACCACAUUUAUAUUUCUCCAGAAGUUGUAGUAUUAGUAAUUGCUCAACCCGCAUUUCCGCAACACCCAUAAUAUUUUCAUUAGAAUUUCUUAUAACAACUUCCAACAUUGGUUAUUGAUAUUUUAAGGUUUCAUCUUAAAUAAUAAUAACAAAAUAAUUAAAAUUUUUAUCAAAAUUUAACGAAAUAUAUUGUGCUUUGAUAAACAAGAAAUGUCAACUAAAUAUAGUCAAAAUAAAUAAUAAAUUGUUAAGUCGAGUUUUGGUUUCACAUGAGUGUAAUUAUGGAGACUAGUUAUUUGAAUAAAAUUUAAUUUCUUCUGUUUAUCAUUGUAAACUUAAAUAGGGACAAAUGCAUGACUAUAAAAGAAGGGUUUGAUAAGGAUUUUUUGGGGGUACCGAUAGGACCACUCAUGAGCCAUAACAAAAUUAAGCCCAUGCGAGGCCCACCUAAUCCAUUUGUACAUUUAGCUUGAAGAAUAAGACGAUAAUAAACAAUAGGCCUAAAUAAUAAAAUGAUAUAAAAGUAAGAAUAAUGUUAAGAUACCAAUUUUUUAGUCUUAACUUCUUAAGUCUUAAUGUCACACGUUAUUCAUUUAUUAGACGAUAGAUUUCAUAACUUGUAAAAUUAUUUAACUACCAUCUAAUAAAUUAUUGUCAUAUUUGUUGAAACUUAAAUUUUGAAAUGUUUAACAUUGAGCUGAAUGCCUGAAUCUAAAUGAUUUCAUUUUCCAUUAUUGUUAUUUAUUUUAAUUUUUUUUCCCAAUCGGAUUUUGCUUUGAGAAAAUAGAAAGCUUUUUGGCUUUAAGCAUGUAUAGUAAAUUGAAAAAAAAAAUCCAUAAAUUAUCCAUGAGUUUCUGAAAACCAAUUAACUUCAAAAUCUGUUCCAGCGCUAGGAGGAACAUCUUCAAUAACUUUUUUCAUGGCCUUUUGGGUAAUAAAUCCCAGUUCUUUCAUGAGGAACCCAGCCACAAUUCCCUUCAUUUUCUCCCACAUUAUUAUUCAUCUGCUGCCUCCUUAUCACAUUUCCUUCUUCCGCAUUGGAUUUCAAUGCUGUUUCUCUCAUCAUAUCAUUAGAACUUGCUUUCUUUUGAAAGGAUUUCCUCAUUAUUGGCCUAUAUGUUUCAAAAAGACUUAACAAAUUAAUAAUGCAAAAACAAAGACUAAAAUAUUCAAACACUCAAAUGAAUGAAAGUAAUCUCUUUUUAUUAUUGCGUGGACAGUGGCGAAAUCAGGAUUUUGAUUCGACAAAUGUCAUCAAUAAAAGAGAAACAACAAAUUUAAGUAGGCUAUAACACAAAAUAAUAAUAAUAAUAAUAAUAAUAAUAAUAAUAAUAAGAGGGCUACAAAAUAAAACUGUCAAGUCACAAGAGAAUAUUGUUAUCCAUUUCUCUCAUCUCUAGGGAGAUCAUUUGUUGUUCCUGUGUACGUCAUUUUCUGUUUGGAUAAAUAUUAAAUUAUAACACUCUUUCUUGAUCAUUGGGGAGCACUCAUUGCAGAGCAUGGCCUUCUUUUGUUCCCUUUUGUUUUGUUUUUGUUUUUUAGUCAUCUAAGUUAUGGGACAUGGCUUGUGGACUCAGCUUUUAAAAACUUUCCCUCGAUAAGUAGUUGAAUCUAGGGGAGGUACUGUUUAGUCAUAACGAGAUUACACGAUAUAAAAUGAGAUACAGAGGGGGAUUCACCUCAUGAUUAGUGGGACGGAGAGAAUAAUUAAAAAAUAUUUGAGUUAUUAAUUAAUUCC